rnacentral:rRNA from 1 species
AUAUCAAUAAGCGGAGGAAAAGAAACUAACAAGGAUUCCCCUAGUAACGGCGAGUGAAGCGGGAAUAGCUCAAAUUUGAAAUCUCACUGGUCCCCAGUGCGAAUUGUAGUUUAUAGAAAUGUUUUCAGGGGUUUGGUCAGGGUCAAGUCCUUUGGGAUAGGGCAUCAUAGAAGGUGAGAAUCCUGUAUUUUGCUCUGACUCCAAACCUCUAUGUGAUACAUUUUCAAAGAGUCGGGUUGUUUGGGAAUGCAGCCCAAAAUGGGUGGUAAAUACCAUCUAAAGCUAAAUAUUGGCGAGAGACCGAUAGCGCACAAGUA